UACAGAGGAGCCAAGCGUUGUCCGGAUUGACUGGGCGUAAAGCGCACGCAGGCGGACGCGCGCGUGGGGUGUGAAAUCUGGCCGCUUAACGGCCAGGCGCCAUCCCAUACGGCGCGUCUGGAGUGAUGCAGAGGUCGGUGGAAUUGCCGGUGUAGUGGUGAAAUGCGUAGAGAUCGGCAGGAACACCCAGGGGGAAACCAGCCGACUGGGCAUCUACUGACGCUGAGGAGCGAAAGCGUGGGGAGCGAACAGG
rnacentral:rRNA from 1 species